rnacentral:rRNA from 1 species
UACAGAGGUCUCAAGCGUUGUUCGGAUUCAUUGGGCGUAAAGGGUGCGUAGGCGGCGCGGUAAGUCGGGUGUGGAAUCUCGGAGCUUAACUCCGAAACUGCAUUCGAUACUGCGGUGCUUGAGGACUGGAGAGGAGACUGGAAUUCAUGGUGUAGCGGUGAAAUGCGCAGAUAUCAGGAGGAACACCGGUGGCGAAGGCGGGUCUCUGGGCCGAUACUGACGCUGAGGAGCGAAAGCGUGGGGAGCGAACAGG